UAAAAUUCAAAUAUGGUGUCAGAAUC
rnacentral:piRNA from 1 species